GGAGCUCAAAGCAAGGUCCCUGCCAUGGAUUCAGGCAUUGCUGAGAGUAUCCCAGGGGUCCCUGUCCCUGCUAGACAUGGAGCUCUCUAAUGGGCUGUAAUUGGGUGAUAAAAGUGGUGCUCCAAGUGCCAAAGAAGUGUGGGGUUGGGAUUAAGAAAUGAGCAGUGAGGGUCCAAUUGGCUGUUUGCUCUGGAAUGUGACUGUAAGAGCUGCAGGAGUGCAAGGUGUGUGUUCCAGUCCCCAGCAUUUGGUUUGCACAUGUCCUGGUCAGACACAGGUCCAACUUGCUCCGUCCUUAACACAAGAGAGGGAGAAUGAAGGACUGGCAGUGUUAAGGUGAUUGGUGUGACAGGGGUUAAACUGGGAAAACAUUGGGUAAUUCCUCAGUUUCUCUAUUUGCCAAACUCGCCCAAACCUGUACUAGGAAGAGAUUGAGUGGAAAAGUUGAGGCAGAAAUGCAAGUGAAAACUGGGGAUAUUGAAACUGUAAUUGCUGUAACUAAAUGUGUCCAAGCAGCAGCUCUUGUUGUGCAGGGAAUAACUCCUGUCAGCAGCAAGGCCCCGACUGAAGUGGCAGCUGCAGUUGUUCCUGUGGUGUGGGCCAGUGGAGUUGCAGGAGAGUGGAAGAGGGCAGAACCUGACGUGAAUGCAAGAACCUGCCAAGAAAACCAAUGGCCAAGAUGAUUGAUGAGUGCAGGACCUGAGAGAAGCACCUUGAAUGACAACCUGGAGGAGUUUCCAGUAUUGGAUUUAAAAGAUGGCCUUUGCCUCUCCUUGAGCAAGGAAAGCCAAGAAAGCUUUGCUUUGGAGGAGAAAAUGGGGCAAGCAGGCAGGAAGAAGAGAAGCCCCGUGACUCCUCCCUGAGCCCCAGACAGCCCAUGAACUGCCUUGCUGGCAAUGGUGGGACGGGCUGGACUCUGCAUUGCUCCCUCGGGAUGUGUGGCUCUCCCCUCAGGAACUGCAGGAACUCCUGGUGCCGCCUGGGCCGAUGGAUUGGACGCCCCAGCCCCUCCGUUCCUGCCCAGCCACUGGGUCCGUGUCCAGUGGUGGCACUGCCAGCCCUGCAGGUGAAGUGGGAAGGGCCUUUCCAGGUCUUGUGGGUCACAUUUAUAGCAGCUGAAGUUGCAGAAAGGAUGUUGGGUCUCUUGUUCUUGAGUUCAGAAAGCUCCUUUUAUUGGUGAGCAGAACAAAGUGGAUCCUUCAGAGUUCCCAUCCGUGUUUGUGUCUCAGCCUGUGUUAGGAUUCAGGGCUGUAGCUGUUGUUGUCACUGAGGAGUCAAACUGUGCUUUAAAUAAUGAGACACUGGCCUGAUGGCCGAGUGUCAGGAAGAAAGGGGGAAUGCUGUCUGAGUGUUGAGAUGUAACAAGGGCUAAUCCUUUUUGCAGUGGGAUGUAGCCUGGAAAGUGCACAGAGCUGAGCCAAGGGAUUGAAAGGUACCAACCAAGGGAGGUGAAGAAAGAAGGAAGAAGGGAAGUGAGGCAGCAGCCAAGCAGCACCAAGUGCUGUGUAAGCAGGUGAGUUGUGUUGAGGUACCUAAGGCAGGCACUGAGGACUUGGAGGGCUCCAGACAGAGCAGAGCUGCGAAGGCCCUCGGUGAAGCCCCUUGGAAACCUUCCAAGGGUAGGUGUGUAUGGUAGUAAGUGUUGGAAAAUGCCCUGAAUGUGGAAUAGGAAUGUAGAGAACAAAAGUAAAUCCUCCUGUAAUGCUGCCAUAUCAGCUGCAGUGGAGACACCUGUGUGUUCCCUUUGGGAGCUGAUUGCCAGGGCACCUGGUGGGGUGGAAUGAUUCAAGAGCAUAGGAAUAAAAGGUUGCCUGGCUUCUAAACCUCUCCA
rnacentral:lncRNA from 1 species